rnacentral:rRNA from 1 species
UGGGGAAUAUUGGACAUGGGCGCAAGCCUGAUCCAGCAAUGCCGCGUGUGUGAAGAAGGCCUGCGGGUUGUAAAGCACUUUCAGUAGAGAAGAAAAGCUCAUGGUUAAUACCCGUGAGUCUUGACGUAACCUACAGAAGAAGCACCGGCUAACUCCGUGCCAGCAGCCGCGGUAAUAAGGAGGGUGCGAGCGUUAAUCGGAAUUACUGGGCGUAAAGCGCGCGUAGGUGGUUUUGUAAGUCGGAUGUGAAAGCCCAGGGCUUAACCUUGGAAUUGCAUUGGAUACUGCAGAACUAAAGUAUGGUAGAGGGAAGUGGAAUUUCCGGUGUAGAUGUGAAAUGCGUAGAUAUCGGAAGGAACACCAGUGGCGAAGGCGACUUCCUGGGCCAAUACUGACACUGAGGUCCGAAAGCGUGGGGAGCAAACAGGAUUAGAUACCCCCGUAGUCC